GAUGAACGCUAGCGAUAGGCUUAACACAUGCAAGUCGAGGGGCAGCAUGGUCUUAGCUUGCUAAGACUGAUGGCGACCGGCGCACGGGUGCGUAACGCGUAUGCAACUUGCCUCACAGAGGGGGAUAACCCGUCGAAAGACGGACUAAUACCGCGUACACUUGGGAUAGGGCAUCCUGACCCAAGGAAAUGAAAUUCGCUGUGAGAUAGGCAUGCGUCCCAUUAGCUAGUUGGUGAGGUAACGGCUCACCAAGGCGACGAUGGGUAGGGGAACUGAGAGGGUGAGCCCCCACAGUGGUACUGGGACACGGGCCAGACUCCUACGGGAGGCAGCAGUGAGGAAUAUUGGUCAAUGGGCGAGAGCCUGAACCAGCCAAGUCGCGUGAAGGAUGACUGUCUUAUGGAUUGUAACCUUCUUUUAUACGGGAAUAACAAGAGUCACGUGUGGCUCCCUGCAUGUACCGUAUGAAUAAGCAUCGGCUAACUCCGUG
rnacentral:rRNA from 1 species